UGGGUUGUGGCUCAGGGGUGGAGCACUUGCCUACCAUGCAUGGGGCACUGGGUUCAAUCAUCAGCACCAUAU
rnacentral:tRNA from 1 species